GUUAGAGAAGAGGAAUUUGAAAUGUUGCUUGGAAAUGGGCCUGGUAGACAGGAACAAAAGAGUUCCUGCUGAAAUCCCCGAAGCUGUCACUCCAAAGAGCAGUCUUGAUCACUCUAGACUGUACGCAUGAGAACAUGUAUUGUGGUUGUCAACUGGCCAUCGAACCUUGGAUGAUCCACCACUACCAAAGAUCAGCAUCCCCUGACAUCAAGGAAUGGUACCCCCAGGCUGAGAGACUUCCUGGACUUCAGCUUGAGGAUGAGGGAGAAGUGUGCCAAACCUGUAGAUUCACAGGAUCAGCUGGGUGAGUCCAGAGUGACCAAGAAUCAUUAGGUUUUGUAAAGCUAGUUACAGUCCUCCAUUUUUUAGGUGCAAGCC
rnacentral:lncRNA from 1 species